rnacentral:rRNA from 1 species
GGGACACGUGGUAUCCUGUCUGAAUAUGGGGGGACCAUCCUCCAAGGCUAAAUACUCCUGACUGACCGAUAGUGAACCAGUACCGUGAGGGAAAGGCGAAAAGAACCCCGGCGAGGGGAGUGAAAAAGAACCUGAAACCGUGUACGUACAAGCAGUGGGAGCACGCUUAGGCGUGUGACUGCGUACCUUUUGUAUAAUGGGUCAGCGACUUAUAUUCUGUAGCAAGGUUAACCGAAUAGGGGAGCCGAAGGGAAACCGAGUCUUAACUGGGCGUUAAGUUGCAGGGUAUAGACCCGAAACCCGGUGAUCUAGCCAUGGGCAGGUUGAAGGUUGGGUAACACUAACUGGAGGACCGAACCGACUAAUGUUGAAAAAUUAGCGGAUGACUUGUGGCUGGGGGUGAAAGGCCAAUCAAACCGGGAGAUAGCUGGUUCUCCCCGAAAGCUAUUUAGGUAGCGCCUCGUGAAUUCAUCUCCGGGGGUAGAGCACUGUUUCGGCAAGGGGGUCAUCCCGACUUACCAACCCGAUGCAAACUGCGAAUACCGGAGAAUGUUAUCACGGGAGACACACGGCGGGUGCUAACGUCCGUCGUGAAGAGGGAAACAACCCAGACCGCCAGCUAAGGUCCCAAAGUCAUGGUUAAGUGGGAAACGAUGUGGGAAGGCCCAGACAGCCAGGAUGUUGGCUUAGAAGCAGCCAUCAUUUAAAGAAAGCGUAAUAGCUCACUGGUCGAGUCGGCCUGCGCGGAAGAUGUAACGGGGCUAAACCAUGCACCGAAGCUGCGGCAGCGACGCUGAUGCGUUGUUGGGUAGGGGAGCGUUCUGUAAGCCUGCGAAGGUGUGCUGUGAGGCAUGCUGGAGGUAUCAGAAGUGCGAAUGCUGACAUAAGUAACGAUAAAGCGGGUGAAAAGCCCGCUCGCCGGAAGACCAAGGGUUCCUGUCCAACGUUAAUCGGGGCAGGGUGAGUCGACCCCUAAGGCGAGGCCG